ensembl:snRNA U6 U6 spliceosomal RNA
GUGCUUGCUUUGGCAGCGCGUAGACUAAAAUUGGAAUAAGGGAAGAUUGGCAUGUCGCCGGCACAAGGAUGACAUGAAAAUUCAUGAAGCGUUUCAUUUUUUC